UGGGGAAUAUUGGACAAUGGGCGCAAGCCUGAUCCAGCCAUGCCGCGUGGGUGAUGAAGGCCCUAGGGUUGUAAAGCCCUUUCGGCGGGGAAGAUAAUGACGGUACCCGCAGAAGAAGCCCCGGCUAACUUCGUGCCAGCAGCCGCGGUAAUACGAAGGGGGCUAGCGUUGCUCGGAAUCACUGGGCGUAAAGCGCACGUAGGCGGCUUGUUAAGUCAGGGGUGAAAUCCUGGAGCUCAACUCCAGAACUGCCUUUGAUACUGGCGAGCUUGAGUUCGGGAGAGGUGAGUGGAACUGCGAGUGUAGAGGUGAAAUUCGUAGAUAUUCGCAAGAACACCAGUGGCGAAGGCGGCUCACUGGCCCGAUACUGACGCUGAGGUGCGAAAGCGUGGGGAGCAAACAGGAUUAGAUACCCCCGUAGUCC
rnacentral:rRNA from 1 species